AUGCAAAGCAGCGGGGAUUCUGCAUUCGUGUGCUGUGUGACGUCGAGCUCAACCGCUUCUCCACAGGAGCAUUCGCCACAUAAACUGCAGGACCAAGCCCGACAUCCACUGGAAAGUACAGCACCAGUACUGCACAGCUGGAAACUACUCGACGACCACGAAAGCCCCAGACAUACUUGUGCACAAAACAGCAUGGCUCCCACAUUUGUGUACUGCGUGACGUCGAGCUCAACAGAGCACAGGAGAAGCUUCUACACAGAAGUAUUCCCCACAUAAACUGCAGGAGACACUAUCACAGGAGGACUACAACUUGUCCUGCAUCAUGACAUUUCCCCCUUACCAGCAUAAAGGUUUCGGAAGACUGCUGAUCGAGUUCAAUUAUGAGCUCUCCAAGUGUGAGGGCAAGACUGGCUCUCCUGAGAAGCCACUUUCUGACCUGGGGCUGCUGUCGUAGCGGUCCUACUGGUCUGAGACCACUCUCGAGAUCCUGAUUAACGGGGUCCCUACUGACAAUCGGGAAAGGCCUAAGAUCAGCAUUAAGCUGCCUUCCCCCAACAUGCUUAAGCCCAUCCAGAUGGAAUUUAUUGAAACUGCAGCAACCACCUGGCACGCUCAUGGGAUUUGUUCUUGCCGUGGAUGUUUCCGGCAGUAUGCGGGACGAAGGCGGACAUCCAGUCCAAACCCGAGCACCAGUUCUGCACAGCUGGAAACUACUGGACAACCACAAAGGCUCCAGACAGACCUGGACCAAGCCUGACAUCCACUGCCAACCGCAGCGUUCUGCACAGCUGGAAACUACAUCGACAGCCACGAGAGCCCCAGAAAGACUGGACCAAGCCCGACAUCCACUGCAAACCUGCACAGCUGGAAACUACUGGACAACCACGAAGGCUCCAGACAGACCUGGUCAGAAUUGGGAACUUGACGUAUCGUAAAGAACCAUGUAGUGAUAAAUA